CACACACACACACGGAGUGGUAUGAGAGUAUCUGCCUACAGUGUUAGGGAAGGCUUAUAAAAGUGAUAACAGGGAGUUGAAUCUUGAAGCGUAUUACAGUUCUCCAGGCCAAAAAGAGGAUGACAAGAAAAUUCAAAGCAGAAGAAACAACAAACAGGAAGAGAAGCAGGAAGAAGUUGUUUCAACAUCCCUAUAGAGAUGAUGCUGACGUAAUGAAAGCAACAUUACCGUGGAGAAGAGAAACUACAUUCAAAUAAUAUUUCUGAGAAAACUAAUGAGACUGCAGUUGUCAACUGAAGACACGAUCACAGACUAUGAAAUAAAGCCAGAGUUGAUGUCACAUUAGUAAUGCAGCAAAGCAGUGUCUUGUGCCUGUUCCCACAAUCCCAAAGGACUGCCACAGCAAUAUUUAGCAAUGGCCUCAAAGAACAAACAAAUGAAUACAACAGUUAACAUAUCAAAACCAGUAACAGGACCCCUCUGAUUCAGAGGCGAUAACUUCAAAAAUAUAUGUUUGGUUGCCUUAAAAUCUUAAUCAGUGUAAGGCCUUGAAGAGCUACAUAUCCAAAAUAUAACUAACUGCACCCUGUAAACGAAAAAAAGAAAGAAAUCCUUUAUUUUGAAAUGGUACUGAUGGAACUAAUCCUGUUAAAGAAUUUCUGCAUGAUUAAAGGUGGCAGAGCGUUCUAAUAAGUCAUUAUAAAGUUCUAUUUAGAAUAAUGAUUAGCCAUCAAAUAAACAACUUAUUGUAAUUGUCAGGAAAAAGCCAAAGAGUGAAUUUGGCAUAGUCUACAAUUAAACACUUUUUAAAAUAAUAUAAAAACAGCUACCAUAUACUGAGUGUUCACUAUACGUCAGAUAGUGUGCUAAGCACCUAAAUUAUUUACAUGGCCUCUAAUCCUCACAAUAACUCUGUAAGGUCUAUUAUCUGUACUUUACAGAGAAGGAAACUGAGGCUUAAAUAAGCUAAAUCACAUGAACCUGAACCAAGUACAUCUAUUCCAGACUGUGCUCUUAACCAUUACUAGAACUGCCA
rnacentral:lncRNA from 10 species